rnacentral:rRNA from 1 species
UGAGUAACGCGUGGGUAACCUGCCUCAUACAGGCCUAUAACAGUUAGAAAUGACUGCUAAUACCGCAUAAGACCACGGUACCGCAUGGUACAGUGGUAAAAACUCCGGUGGUAUGAGAUGGACCCGCGUCUGAUUAGGUAGUUGGUGGGGUAACGGCCUACCAAGGCGACGAUCCAUAGCCGGCCUGAGAGGGUGAACGGCCACAUUGGGACUGAGACACGGCCCAGACUCCUACGGGAGGCAGCAGUGGGGAAUAUUGCACAAUGGGGGAAACCCUGAUGCAGCGACGCCGCGUGAAGGAAGAAGUAUCUCGGUAUGUAAACUUCUAUCAGCAGGGAAGAAAAUGACGGUACCUGACUAAGAAGCCCCGGCUAACUACGUGCCAGCAGCCGCGGUAAUACGUAGGGGGCAAGCGUUAUCCGGAUUUACUGGGUGUAAAGGGAGCGUAGACGGAUGGACAAGUCUGAUGUGAAAGGCUGGGGCUCAACCCCGGGACUGCAUUGGAAACUGCCCGUCUUGAGUGCCGGAGAGGUAAGCGGAAUUCCUAGUGUAGCGGUGAAAUGCGUAGAUAUUAGGAGGAACACCAGUGGCGAAGGCGGCUUACUGGACGGUAACUGACGUUGAGGC